GCACCUGUGCCUUAAUCGGUUAAAGGGACGGCGUUGUAAGCCGUAGAUCCGGGUUCGAGCCCCGGCAGGUGCA
rnacentral:tRNA from 1 species